AUGGUCACACCGCAGCACCAGCACCCGGUGAAUGUGGUUCUCUCCCAUGGCUGGCAGGCAGGGCCCUGCAGGGAACAGACCCAAGGGCUGACAUGGGGAUGUCUGCUGAAGGGUGUAUUUACCACGAUAAGGGCAGGGCUGGGAGGCUGGGCAGCCAGUUUCACCCUCGCACAGGGUACCUGGCAAGACCAGCGGCCAGAGGUGACGUCCUCAGUAGAGAGCGGUGGCCACUGGAAACUGCGCGGCUGGAAGGAGAAACGCUCGGGCCUCUGGUAGGGACCAGCCUGGGGUGGGGUCGGCCAGGAUCGGCUGCCUUUCCUCCAUGCUGGGACGGAGAUGUUGUGUGCGUGUGACAAAGCAUUUGAUGGCACGCCAAAAGUUUCCUCCAUUAUGUGUGUGUGAAGUGUUUGACCAGGUCAGAAGUCUUGUUCCAUGCGCAUGUGCUCACGGAGACAGAAGCGGAGGGGCCCCGUCGCUCUGCCUCACACCGCUGAACCGCAGAGGUCUCCCACUUGUCAGGCUUGCGGCUCAGCCGCUAAGUGUGUCAGGUGUGCAUCCCAGGCUCUCCUUCGUGCUCUGCCCUACGGUGGCACAGGCGGUGGGGUUAGACAGGUACCGGUCAGAUUACAGUGGCACAGGCGGUGCGAGGUUAGACAGGUACCAGAUUACGGUGGCACAGGCGGUGUGAGGUUAGACAGGUACCAGAUUACGGUGGCACAGGUGAUGGGGUUAGACAGGUACCGGUCAGAUUACGGUGGCACAGGCGGUGUGGAGUUAGACAGGUGCCAGUCAGAUUACGGUUGCACAGGCGGUGGGGUUAGACAGGCACCAGUCAGAUGCACGGGCUCCCCACACCCCUGCUGUGGCUUUGGCAGUAAGGACAGGACGCACCCACAUCACAAGAGGAGCACAGGCAGGGGUGUUGGUGUUGGGGCAGCCCUCAGGGUCUCCAGACCCUGGCCCCCUCACACAGCAGCCCAGAAAGGAAGGGUAGAGUCGCAGGUGUCACCUGGUGGGGAUCUCCCAGGAGCUGCCCCUUUCUGGAAGUCACAGGACAGGAAUGACAGGUCGGGGGACUGCAGGAAGCUGCCACCUCUGGGGUCAGAACAUGCCCAGGCUGCAGGGGCUCCAUUGCGGGGUCUUCGAAAGCCAGACAGCCUGCCUUGUGCUGCACACCUGGCUUUGCUCUGUGCAGAACCCAGCACACGUGAUUUUGUGUGACAUGCCAAUAGCCUGGCUCCCCGACAGGAGGCCUGCCCUGGGGGAGUGGCUGCAGGAGGAGGGUGGGGCAGGCACCCAUGAGUCUGUCCAGCCUUGUCACAGAUGCGUCGCCCGCCCUGCAGUCCUGAUUUCAGCUCACCUCAGAGUAAAUCAGAAUAAACCGCACCUGGACUUUCACGAGUGCAUUGUCGACGCUUUCAGUUCACCGCUUUCUUUGCUAACUUUCUUCCUAUUUUCUUCUAAUGCAAGAGCUUAUUAAUUCAAUAUUUAUCAUUUUGAAUAACUUUUUCCCUUUUUAGUAACAAAAUGUACUCCACUAUUAGUAAAAUGUAUUUACUAUUUUAGUAACAAAAUUAUACUUGCCUAAUCAUGUUUAAAAUAUAGUGAUGUGAACAAUUCA